rnacentral:tRNA from 1 species
GCUAAAUUAGCUCAGUUGGUAGAGCAGCUGAUUCGUAAUCAGCAGGUCGGGGGUUCGAAUCCCCCAUUUAGCUCCA